GAAAUGCGAUAAGUAAUGUGAAUUGCAGAAUUCAGUGAAUCAUCGAAUCUUUGAACGCACCUUGCGCUCCUUGGUAUUCCUUGGAGCAUGCCUUUUUGAGUAUCAUGAAAUCUUCAAAGUAAAUCUUUUGUUAACUCAAUUGGUUUCUACUUUGGUAUUGGAGGUCUUUGCAGCUUCACACCUGCUCCUCUUUGUUCAUUAGCUGGAUCUCAGUGUUAUGCUUGGUUCCACUCGGCGUGAUAAGUUAUCUAUCGCUGAGGACACUGUAAAAGGUGGCCAAGGUAAAUGCAGAUGAACCGCUUCUAAUAGUCCAUUGACUUGGACAAUACUUUUAUGAUCUGAUCUCAAAUCAGGUAGGACUACCCGCUGAACUUAAGC
rnacentral:misc_RNA from 1 species